AGAGCUGGCAACAGGGUGGACACAGGAACCAGAAGACGAGAAGGAGAGCCGGCAGCAGGAUGUCAGGUAAGCUGGUAUACGUAGCACUGGCAGCCUGAGUAGCACUGGCAGCUGGAGCAGCGCUAGCCAAGUAGCGCUAGCAGUCAAAGUAGCAGUAUCAGCAAUCAGGGAACAGAAGGAUUAAGAGCAGAGGACUUACGCACUUAACCAAAAGAAACGGCGAGCUUGCUGACUGACCAGACGCAGAAUAAUCAGAACUGCUGAAAUGCAGAAACAAACAGGAACAGGAUGUUGAAAGACGGACCGGACUGGGAGAUAAUGAGCAGCAGGUGAAUGACAUGGUGACUGAUUGUGGUGGCAGAACAGCGAGAAACGGGACCGGGGGAUAACGAGCAACAGACACACACUCACAGACUGCAGCCACCAUGAAAGAUGCUGGCUGACCAUCAAGAACAAUGGAGGGUCCAAUGUCACGCCCAUGGACAAUUUGACACUUGGACAGGAGAAACUGUUCAUGGACAAGGAGCAUUACAAGGGAAUUUCUUUGAUUUAGCAUUGCACUGUAGCAAUGUUGCACUCACAUUGUACAAGACUCCAAUUUUUCUUUUUACUUUUUUUUCUAGAUUUGUAGUUUUUAGUCCCAGCCAAUGCUGAUUCAAGUGAUAUCACUUAAGGUAAUCAGAUGUCACACAGCCCCUUCUGUGGCUACAGAAUGCUUUAUAUAAUUGACUUCAGCUACUGUAUGCAGCUGCGCUUCCUAACACCUGCAAAGUGACUUUUAUGUGUAAAAUCAUUAGAAUCCUGUGUUGAAGGAAAAGAUAUAUUGAAUAUUCAUCUUGCAACUACAGUACAGAAGUAUUUGUGCCUUUUUGUUUUAUUUGUUUUGGUAAACCCACAAACCCUUGUCUUCAAGUAAA